rnacentral:ncRNA from 1 species
ACCGUGCUGCGCUGUUCAGGUGCGCUUGUUUCGGCAUGCGUUAAACGGGAAGUUGGUGCAAUACCAACGCUGCCCUCGCAACGGUAAGCAGGUUUAACCCCUUGUAAGCCCGAUACCGGCCUAACAAGGCACGACCCU